GACGUAGGGCGCGAGCGUUGUCCGGAUUUAUUGGGCGUAAAGAGCUCGUAGGCGGCCAACUAAGUCAUACGUGAAAUCCCUCGGCUUAACCGGGGAACUGCGUCUGAUACUGGAUGGCUUGAGUUCGGGAGAGGGAUGCGGAAUUCCAGGUGUAGCGGUGAAAUGCGUAGAUAUCAGGAGGAACACCGGUGGCGAAGGCGGGUCUCUGGGCCGGUACUGACGCUGAGGCACGAAAGCGUGGGGAGCAAACAGG
rnacentral:rRNA from 1 species